rnacentral:tRNA from 1 species
GGAGAGAUGGCCGAGUGGUUUAAAGGCGUGGCAUUGGAACUGCUAUGUAAACUUUUUUGUUUACCGAGCCUCUCUUUCCG